UACGAAGGGGCUAGCGUUGUUCGGAAUUACUGGGCGUAAAGCGCACGUAGGCGGAUCCUUAAGUCAGGGGUGAAAGUCCCGAGGCUCAACCUCGGAACUGCCUUUGAUACUGGGGAUAUCGAGUCCGGGAGAGGUGAGUGGAACUGCGAGUGUAGAGGUGAAAUUCGUAGAUAUUCGCAAGAACACCAGUGGCGAAGGCGGCUCACUGGCCCGGUACUGACGCUGAGGUGCGAAAGCGUGGGGAGCAAACAGG
rnacentral:rRNA from 1 species